rnacentral:rRNA from 1 species
UACGAAGGGUGCAAGCGUUACUCGGAAUUACUGGGCGUAAAGCGUGCGUAGGUGGUUUGUUAAGUCUGAUGUGAAAGCCCUGGGCUCAACCUGGGAAUUGCAUUGGAUACUGGCGAGCUAGAGUGCGGUAGAGGAUGGCGGAAUUCCCGGUGUAGCAGUGAAAUGCGUAGAGAUCGGGAGGAACAUCUGUGGCGAAGGCGGCCAUCUGGACCAGCACUGACACUGAGGCACGAAAGCGUGGGGAGCAAACAGG